UACAGAGGUCUCAAGCGUUGUUCGGAUUCAUUGGGCGUAAAGGGUGCGUAGGUGGCGCCGUAAGUCGGGUGUGAAAUUUCGGAGCUUAACUCCGAAACUGCAUUCGAUACUGCCGUGCUUGAGGACUGGAGAGGAGACUGGAAUUUACGGUGUAGCGGUGAAAUGCGCAGAUAUCAGGAAGAACACCCGUGGCGAAGGCGGCUCUCUGGGACGUGACUGACGCUGAGACGCGAAAGCGUGGGGAGCGAACAGG
rnacentral:rRNA from 1 species